CGAAACAAACGAUUAUUUUUAUGCGAUAACUUUAAUAAUAGCGUUUCAACGUUCCUAGUGGCAGCAGUAAAAAUCAACGAUGCGGACCUCGUUAUCUCGCAUUUAUAUUUCAGUCAUUUGCAUUUAAAUACUGCGAUAUUUUCUAUAUUAUCAAAUUAUAAUUAAAAAUAACAAAAUAACAAGCAAAAAGUCUGUAGACUAAAAAAAAGAGUGUUUAAUUUCCCUAGAAAAAAAGAAAUAAUUAAAUUGCAAAUAGUUAAUAAAAUCGAGCCGAUCAAAUUAGAGCAAAGUAUGUUAAAAACCAAACUAAUCUACAAAUCAAUUAUUAUAAUUGCUAUAAUAAAAUCUUAUUAUCAUUAAUCAACGUUUCAUUAGCAUAUUAUUAAUGUACGGGGUCCAUUAUUAUCGUUGAAAAAGUCUCCAUGCAUUUCAGAGUUCAAUUUUUCUCAGCAAACCGAAUCCCACUUUGGGUUGACGUGCAAACUGAAGCUAUCGUGGUACGUAAUGAAUAAUUAAGCGUGCAGUAAAUACUCUUGCUUUGGCUAGUUCAAGUUAUAUUGCAUCGCAAAUAACGGACUAUUUAAUUAGCCGCGGGCGGGAUUCUCAGUGAAUCGCCAAGUUAACAACUUGCGUCCACGAAAGGACAUCCGAGGAAUUUCUCAAGAGCUGCACCCUUUCUUGUGUUCGACGUUUACUCCAAGCACUCAGUUCCAGCACACAAAACGACCAUAUUUUACCUUAAUAAAGAAUAAAUUCUUCAAUUACAGUAGUUUGCCUUAAUAAUUUUGUUCAGCCACAAGGAAAAGAUUUUUGUAGGUAUGUAGGUGAAAAGAAUCAUUCAAAUAAAUAUCUUCUCUCUAAAACAAUCUAAUCUAAUAAUAAUAAGUGGGAUAUUGAAGUAAUUUUUGGUAACCUUUGGUUGCUUGAGGGCUAAAUCCGUAAUUAUUAAAAUACUCUUUGUUCAACCAUACCAUUAAUCCAUUAAAUAUAAUGAAUUCGAUUUGGAAUCAUGAAAAGAAAUUUGUACUAUUCAUAAGGGAGGAUUCCUUUUAAUUCAAGAAAUAUAUUUAAUAUUAUAUAUUUCAUAUUUCAAAAAUAUAUUUUUUAUAUCUAUAAAAAAUCAACAUCCAUAGAAGAUCAAUUAAAAUAUGUAAAUUGUAUAAUUUCAAGGGAAGAAAUUGGAAGUUGAUAGAUCAGAGUACCAACCUUGUAGAACACACACAAAAAGAGAAGUGUACAGAGAUUAUUAUGACCAGACAAAAGCAAGGAAAUAUAUAAUCUAGGACUUUCAGUGUCUUUAAAAUCAAAUUCAAGAUUAUCAAACAUAAGGAACAAGAAACGAAGAAAUGCACCGUACAUUUCAUUUAAUCUUAAAGUACCAAUCUUAGAACAGCUCUAAAAAAGGAAUUUAUAAAAAUAAUUAUAACUAGAUGAAAUGUGAUCCAGGACUUUCGUUGGCCGUGAAAGUUUUCCAGGAAAAAGGGUUUUAAUAUUCCCCGUGGUCAGCAUCCGGAGAACAGUCGAUGAUACGACGUAGCCCGAGCACGUGAAAGUCGACCACGAGGCUCGGUCGUGGAUUUUUGCACACUCAGAAACCAGUUUCUGCUCCUAUUGUUACAACCGUCGCGGCUAUUCUCGCGCACGGAAUCUUUCCCUCGGGCCGCAUUUCUUUAUUCAACCGCUUCUUUUGCGCGUGGGUGUCGCAAAACUUUUUGCCGCUGAUGAAAUCUCCAUCGGGAACGAAUUAAAACCGUGUCAGACAGUUCUAGACUCUUACGGCUGUCUGUUCUACUGUUAAGUAAUUUAAAUAACCGCUGACACCAAACCAUUAAUCAUACAGCGACAAGAAAGAAUUUUUUCUUCUUGCGUUCUUCCUUUCCAUUUUGAAGAAUUUUUAUUUAAUAAAUGGAUAAAAUGUGUUCUUCAUUUAACCUUCUUAUAUCAUCCGACAAAUUUUUAAAAAAUUUUUAAAAGAUCAGAGAAUCGACAUAGAGUAAAAGAUCAUUUAAUACUACACUGGAACUAAUAACUAAUAUAUAUAAUGACUGGAACUAAUGGAACUAAUACGUUAUCAAUAUAACGUAGACGUUAAUAAAUUAUCGAUAUAAAAUAGAAAUUAAUAGAUAGAUUAUUUAACAUUAAAAUUACCAAUCUAUAUCGUAUACUGAAAUAUAUAUUAAAAUGAAAGUUAUUAAUACGUUUUAAGAAGCACACUACGCUUCCAAAUAUUCUAGUAUUAAAAGAAAGGUCGUUAUCGAUUUAAAAUUCCUCCGUUUUAAGGAAUCUACUUUACAUCAAAUUCUUCAUUCUAUUUCCAAGUACAAGAUUCCAGCAAUUAACAUCUCGUGAAUUCCUCCACCAAUAAAGAACCUACGGUUCACAAGAAGGUUAGAAUUCAGCUGAAAAAUUUAUUACCUACGAUUGACAAAAAGAAAGAAGGAGAUAAAUACCAUUCAAAAAAUAAUAAAUGCCAUUGGCCUUUGUCAUUAAGCGCACGUUCGACGAAUGAUCAAAGAGAAUAUGCUAGUCGCGUGCAUCAGCGCGAUUAAUUCUUUUCGUGAUUAUCAAUGGACUAUAUAGUCGAAGAGGAACGGAGAGGGAAUUAAUAAAUGAUUACGCCAAUUUCAUUGCGUCACGCAUACCAAUGGCUGCCCCGUUGCAGGUACAAUAAAACGAAGAGGCUGUUAUUGACCUCACGUUUCAAGCUAAAUAGUAACUAUACAUGAUGGUUGAUCGUGCACGCCACGCGACUAUCGCUACAUACAUGAUCGAACCGGUACGUGUUCUUCGUGUGUCCCUUUGGGACCAUUCCGUGGCUAUAUGAAAGAGAAACGUUUCUCAUGACGCGUGCCAACAAUGUCAUUGUUCUUAUCGGGGGAGAGACGGCUGAACCUGAUUCCACGCUGGCUCCAUCUAUAUAACUGCUUUCACACGCAUAUACGCGGAAUUGGGCAGUAGCGUUGAAGUAUUACUCAGAUUAGUCAAGUCAUUUGAAGAUUCGAAUUAUUCAAGUUGCUUAAGGAUUUAAAUUAUUUGGCUUAACUGAAAUUCGAAUUAUUCGAGCUAUUUGAAGAUUUAUAUCAUUCAUGUUACUCAAAGAUUCAGAUUAGAUAGGGAGAAAGAAUCGUUUUCGAUCUAUGGUUCCUUCGAGACUUUCGUCACUUGUAAUGGGAGGAACACGUUCCAAUAAACAAAAAUUUAAUCUUGGAUUUUUCAUGAUCAUGGCCGCAUUUGCAUCAACGUUUUCUUACGAACCUCCCUCGAUCUGGAACUGGCGGACAGUGUACCCCAUGGAUUACGUGAAUAUACCGGCUGAGUCCACGUUGAGGGUAAGAUGCUAGGGGGGAACGGAUGUUUUCGCUCGAGUGCUCGACCGGCAUUGUACCGCCGCUUAUGGCACGAUAACAGUUUCCUCCGGCAAUAACGAUUUCAGUAUCAGGAUGACAAGACACGCGAGCAUUAUGAACACUCUUGUUAUUCGAAUUCGGCCGUGAAGCUGGGGAAAAAUCAUGGAUAGAUAACGAAUCAAGAAUUCUUCGCAUUUCCAGCAUUUUUCUCAUAUGAUAAAGACACAAGGAUGACAGCUGCAGGAUAUAAAUUACGUACAGAAUUUUCCAAUCUUCUCGGGGCAAUUAUCUGAAACGUUUUAGAGAAGUGGUUGAAUAAUAAAGUCAUACCGAUCGAGGUAGCACACAGAUAAUAGAGACAGACUGUCGUGAUUGGUUGUUCUUUCGAAGAUAAGAUCACCCUCCUUGCGUCGAAUGAAAGUUAUGUAAAACGCGUUGUUGGUGAGAAACUCGUCAGAAACUCAGAUUAGCCAACGGUGAACAGAUUGAAUAAUUUAACAGAUCAGUGUCCGUGUCCAGUACACGGUCGUGUUGAAAAACUACGUGGUCAGUGUUUUAAAUCAUAAACUUCAUCGUAAAUUGAAUUGUGCAAAUAGCACCGAUGUUUCCUGGUAAUCUUCGUGGCAAGCAAUCACGUAUACCCAAUACGAGCUCGCAUUCUAGAUGCUUGAAAAACCCUUCGGUUACUCGAUUACGAAAAAACAAGCGAAAAUCAAACAAGGUUUUGUUGAUUUUUUCAAUUUGUUACUCAGUGGAUAAAAGAAAAUAUUUUAAUGUAGGAAAAAGAAGAUAGUAUGGGACAAAUGUGAUGAGCUACACUUUUUGUUUCUCACAGUGAAGCAAUUCUGGAAUUCCAUACACUGUUGACUAGUUCUAUAUUACUUAAAUUACUCUUUAAUUCGAUUUACAGAUGAAACAUGGGCUCGUGCUAUAUGUUUGUAAUUGAUUGAUAUUUAUAAUUUCACAGAUAUUAAUAUAUAUUCCUAGAUUUUUGAUACUGAUGUAUAAUUUAUAUAUUGAUAAUUCAAUAUUUACUUAAAUUAUCUAACAUUAUUCUACAUGUAGAUACAUAACUUUUUAAAUAUUCAAGAAGAUGGCAAAAACAUAUAUAACGAAAAUCUGAAAAUCAAAUGAAGAGAUAGUUUUAACAAGACGUAGAAUUAGUCGACGAUAUAUUGGAUUUUGAUAAUUGUUCUCCCAUAAAAGGCAGGAUAUUUUCUUCACCUUCGACUUCCAAAAAUGAAAUGCAUGAAACAUUUUGUAGAACGACGAUAUUGAAAGCUAUUAAGAUAAUUAUUAAUACCAAAACGCAGCUAUCCAUUAGUGGAACGCAACUGUAAAUGGUUUAAUGAUUACAGAAACCGUAGAGUACAUAAUAGCCUCUGUACCUGGAAGCUUCGGUUUAAAGUACAAUGUAUGAAAGACUGCAGAAACCACUAAAUGCACGGAAAGGAGUUCAAGCGUUUAAUUACCACUCGGUAAUGCAUUUGCUGUCGUAUAAGCAACAUAAUAGCUAUAUGCUCGGUGGAGCAAAUAUAACACGUUGUGAGAAAAAAAAAACGAAGAUACGUAGUAGGAAGAGAAAACGAUGGUAUCCUUGAAUGGAGAGUGUUAACAGUUCAGGGACGAAGGUAAAAUCCGAUCCAUUAACCGUGACGCUUUAUCUAACAGAAAGUGGUUCCGAUGGUUAGAAGCCAUGUGGUGGUUGUUGGCUAAAGUCGAAUAGUUUAAUGAAGCUGACCACGUUCAUAACCGCAAAGUAUUUCCCAGAGACUUGUUGCGUUUAAUUUUAGAUUAAUUAUUUUUAUAGAAUAAUAGUAUAUAAACAUAUAUACUCCUGUCAUUUCAUUAAAAAUUUUAAUCACACAAAUUUUCAUUACCUAUCUGUCUCAAUAGGACUAUACUGACAUAUUUUACUAGUAACUUCAUAUUAAUUUUCCAUACAUGUAAUCAAAAGAGUCUUAGUGGCUCUUUAAACAACGUCGCAAAUGUUCCUCCAUUUAUAGUAUGUAUUUAUAUUUUUAUAGAAUUUUUUCAUUAAAACUAUAUAGUAAUACUUUACUAAUAAUUAUAGAUUUUUCCUACACUUGUAGACAUA